rnacentral:rRNA from 1 species
GUGUCAGCCGCCGCGGUAAGACAGAGGGUGCAAACGUUGUUCGGAAUUACUGGGCGUAAAGCGCGUGUAGGCUGCUUCGCAAGUCGGAUGUGAAAGCCCUGGGCUCAACCUAGGAAGUGCAUUCGAAACUGCGGAGCUUGAGUCUCGGAGAGGGUCGCGGAAUUCUCGGUGUAGAGGUGAAAUUCGUAGAUAUCGAGAGGAACACCGGUGGCGAAGGCGGCGACCUGGACGAUGACUGACGCUGAGACGCGAAAGCGUGGGGAGCAAACAGGAUUAGAAACCCCCGUAGUCC